CGCGUAGGCGGUUUCCUAAGUCAGAUGUGAAAGCCCGGGGCUUAACCCCGGAAGUGCAUUUGAAACUAGGGGACUUGAGUAUGGGAGAGGGAAGUGGAAUUCCUGGUGUAGCGGUGAAAUGCGUAGAUAUCAGGAGGAACACCGGUGGCGAAGGCGACUUCCUGGACCAAUACUGACGCUGAGGCGCGAAGGCGUGGGGAGCAAACA
rnacentral:rRNA from 1 species